UACAGGGGGGGCAAGCGUUGUUCGGAAUUACUGGGCGUAAAGGGCUCGUAGGCGGCCAACUAAGUCACACGUGAAAUCCCCAGGCUUAACCUGGGAACUGCGUGUGAUACUGGAUGGCUUGAAUUCGGGAGAGGGAUGCAGAAUUCCAGGUGUAGCGGUGAAAUGCGUAGAUAUCUGGAGGAAUACCGGUGGCGAAGGCGGCAUCCUGGACCGACAUUGACGCUGAUGAGCGAAAGCCAGGGGAGCAAACGGGG
rnacentral:rRNA from 1 species